CCAAGCGUUGUUCGGAUUCACUGGGCGUAAAGGGUGCGUAGGUGGUUGGGUAAGUCUGAUGUGAAAUCCCGGGGCUCAACCCCGGAACUGCAUUCGAUACUGCUGCGCUAGAGUACUGGAGAGGAGAUUGGAAUUUACGGUGUAGCAGUGAAAUGCGUAGAUAUCGUAAGGAAGACCAGUGGCGAAGGCGGAUCUCUGGACAGUUACUGACACUGAGGCACGAAGGCCAGGGGAGCAAACGGG
rnacentral:rRNA from 1 species